rnacentral:SRP_RNA from 1 species
GGCGGGUCUCCCCGCAUCGCAGGGUGGCGAACCUGGUCAGGGCCGGAAGGCAGCAGCCACAGCCAUUUUCCGCGAGUGCCGGGGGUCAGGCUCGCCACU